rnacentral:rRNA from 1 species
AAUGAUAUUGACUUCUCUACCAAUAAUUAAAGCAAAAUUCUCUCAUCAUGUGUUUCUUACUUCACAUCUGUGUACGUGAUGAAGUGGAAAUAUUUCUUUUCAAGUAAAGAGUUGAGAGAGCCUCUACAGUUUGAUGGGUGAGUUGUAUGCUAUCCAAAUAUGAAGACCAUUCGUGAUUAUUUGGCAUGGAGGCAAGCGGACUGUAAGCUUUUUGAACUAUAG